rnacentral:rRNA from 1 species
AGAGUUUGAUCCUGGCUCAGGAUGAACGCUAGCUACAGGCUUAACACAUGCAAGUCGAGGGGCAGCGGGAAGAAAGCUUGCUUUCUUUGCCGGCGACCGGCGCACGGGUGAGUAACGCGUAUCCAACCUUCCCCUUAGUAGGGCAUAGCCCGGCGAAAGUCGGAUUAAUACCCUAUGUUAUUCGUAGAGGACAUCUGAAAUGAAUCAAAGAUUUAUCGCUAAGGGAUGGGGAUGCGUCUGAUUAGGUAGUAGGCGGGGUAACGGCCCACCUAGCCGACGAUCAGUAGGGGUUCUGAGAGGAAGGUCCCCCACAUUGGAACUGAGACACGGUCCAAACUCCUACGGGAGGCAGCAGUGAGGAAUAUUGGUCAAUGGACGGGAGUCUGAACCAGCCAAGUAGCGUGCAGGAUGACGGCCCUAUGGGUUGUAAACUGCUUUUAUACGGGGAUAAAGUGAGGGACGUGUCCCUUUUUGUAGGUACCGUAUGAAUAAGGACCGGCUAAUUCCGUGCCAGCAGCCGCGGUAAUACGGAAGGUCCGGGCGUUAUCCGGAUUUAUUGGGUUUAAAGGGAGCGCAGGCU